rnacentral:rRNA from 1 species
UACAGAGGUCUCAACCGUUGUUCGGAUUCAUUGGGCGUAAAGGGUGCGUAGGCGGCGGGGUAAGUCAGGUGUGAAAUCUCGGGGCUCAACCCCGAAACUGCACUUGAUACUGCCUCGCUUGAGUACUGGAGAGGAGACUGGAAUUUACGGUGUAGCAGUGAAAUGCGUAGAUAUCGUAAGGGAAGACCAGUGGCGAAGGCGGGGUCUCUGGACAGUUCCUGACACUGAGGCACGAAGGCCAGGGGAGCAAACGGG